GGGUUAGAAUUUUAGUCAAAAGGUAGGAUUCGUCCACCAGGGGGUUUGGUGUUGCAGUCAGUUCAUCAGUGCAGAAGACAGAACAGAACAGAAGUGAAGACUACGCACUUCAGAUUCAUUUUAUUCGUCUUCGGGACGCUGCACGCUGAUGCUGGAUGUUUGCGUCAUGACAGCGAACUUAAACACUUUCCGUGAAGAUAGAAAGGUAUUUUUCUUUUGUUUUUAUCCAUGAAUGCUAUUGUGUAUGUGAAUUCGAUAUAUUCUUGUAUUCGAGUGUGGAUCUAAAGGUCAUCUGGCCUUCGUUCAAUAUCAGUCUAACUCCCAGUGUGUCGUGACUGUCGUCCGAGCAUGUGUCCUGAAAGUGCUGUGCGUAUGCUGAAAUGUCGUCUCGUACUAGAAACUAUUGGAGUGCUAGAUCAAUUUGAACUGUUGAAUAAUGGUGUUGGCUGCUCAAUGUGUAGAUGGUGAAAGGUUGACUUGUGAUAAGCUGUUGUCUCUGGUGUUGGUGAAUCUACAGACUUGCAGUUAAACGAGAGAGGGAAAAAUGUGUGUUCCUGGCACAGAGUUCCUUGGGCCAAUGUUGGACUUUGUCAGUAACAAGAAGAGUGACUUCCACCAAUGUAACUAUGACGUCGUUUGAUGUUGGGUCUCGGGUGUUGUGUCGUUGACGGCUGGGUCGAUCAUUUGUGUACCGAUGUCUCCUGGGUAUGACGGAUACCAAACCGCAACGCUGACAAUAACGACGCCAAAAGACCAACGUUCUGUUCCGUCCUUAUCUUCGCAACGCUCGCUCAUCUAGCCUCAAUGCUUUUGAUGUUACUACAUAACUUCUCCUACUCCACAAGUUAUACCACUUCAGUCUGCUGUUACUCUCAUGGUGAAAUGCCCAGGUAUCCGAAAAAUUCUUAAUUAUUUACAAG